UACGUAGGGCGCAAGCGUUAUCCGGAAUUAUUGGGCGUAAAGAGCUCGUAGGCGGUUCAGUAAGUCGGGUGUGAAAACUUUGGGCUUAGCCCAAAGCGUGCAUCCGAUACUGCUGUGACUUGAGUUCGGUAGGGGAGUGGGGAAUUCCUAGUGUAGCGGUGAAAUGCGUAGAUAUCGAGAGGAACACCUGCGGCGAAGGCGGGUUGCUGGGCUGAUACUGACGCUGAGGCGCGAAAGCCAGGGGAGCGAACGGG
rnacentral:rRNA from 1 species